AAGAGAGGGUGCCCUCAUUCCUCUGAAGGAAAGACAGAGGUUUUGUCAUAUACAAGAGGCAAUGGCAGAAGUCUAGGAGAACUCUACGGAGAAGAUGAAAAGAAAAGGAAGAGGUGGUGGCCAUUCUGUAGAAACAAGAGGAAUGUGUAAUAUUCACAUUUUCCUUAUACAAGUUUUUUGAGAAUUACUGCUUCAAAGAACACAUAAACAGCCUGUGAUUGGCCUCUCUUUAUGUCACCCGGGAUCCCUUUGGGGUAUGAGGGCACAAUGGGAGUGCACACAGGAGAGAGAGUGACCUUUCCUAGUGCUGGACCAAGAGCUUAAACCUCCAGGCCAGGGUCAAUGAGUUAUUUUCUUCCCUUGGGGGACAUGUGCUUGAGCUGUCUCAUAAUUAGACUCCUAAGCACAGAAUUACUUUGAAUGUAGGGGGUCUUUUUUAAAUAUAUAAAUUUUCCUCAUAGAUAUGAAUCUAAGUGAAUUCAGGUGAGAACUGUCAGGCAGGCUGAAAGCCAGGAGGGAUCCAGUGUGUCCCCAAAUCUCUAUGAUGUCUAUGAAGGUUUCCGAGAGACAGCAGUGAGAAGGCACACCAGGAGCUGGGGAGCACUCAUGUGCGAAGAACAAGGAAGAGGAUAAUUUGGCCCUACUCAACCGGAGUGGUGGAUCCAAAGUUGGUAGAGUUAUCAUGGCGGAGCAUCUUUGGCAGCAGUGUGGAGGAGGGACUGGAGUGCAGAGAGGCUUGAGGCCAAGAGACCAGUGCAGAGGUCCCUGCAGGACUCCGGGCUACAGACAAUGAGGACCUCACCUCCAGUAGAAUCUCAAACGAGGGUUGUCCUCCCAAGUAGCCUCACGGGGAGAUUCUACACUCCUCCUAAUAAUGCCUUCCUUGCUGCAGACGUUUUUGGAAUCACCUUUGGAAGAAGCUCCCUAAAGGAACUAGAAAUCCACCGUCACACUGAAGCCACCCGAGUGUUAGGGGUGCGAUGGCUCACCUCGGCCAUCUGCUUUAUUGCUGAAUGAACAGCCGCCUGGCUUAUUUCUUAAAUAUGAUGCUUCUUCCAACACUGAAAGCACCCCGGCUCCAAGGAGGUUCCCAAAGACAUGCCCUGUGAAAAGUAGAGCCUCUCCUCGUGACCGUUUGCCGAGCGACUGACCCUCCUCCAGGUCUUAAAGUGACUCAGUCUGUUUCCAAAUGGCUUCUCUGACCACCUCCAUGCUCCUACCCGCCAUGUCCUCCCUCCUCCUCUUGGCCUCUUGGAAUCCCUGGAUUCCUUCAAGACUUAACUCAAGUGACGCCUCCUGUGGGAAGCCUCCCCUGAUCACUCCCACCCCACCCUAUUCAAUGAUGCUCUUUAUGUCUGAGAUUACUUUGUAUUUCUUGUACAUUAGAGAGGCAGUAGAUCAGAGUCGAUAGGAAGCCAGCCUCCAAGGCAACCUGAUCUGGGCUAAGAGUCGCCUCUGGUGGAUACUGGCUUAAAGACCUUGUCAUUCAUUUUUUAUUAUUAUUUAGUCGAUGGGUCAUGUCCAGCUCUUUGCACCCCAUUUGGGGUUUUCCUGGCAAAGAUACUGGAACGAUUUGCUACUUCCUGCUCCAGCUCAUUUGACAGAUAGGGAAGUAAGGUAAACAGUUAAAAGACAGCCAGUAUCUGUGGCCGGACUCGAAUUCAGAUCCUCUUGACUUUAUCCACUGAACCACUUAGCUACCCCUAAUUACCCCUGGCAAAUCAGUCAACUUCCCGGUGUUGUAGGGCAAUAGUGUGAAACUCAAAUCGAAACAGGGUCCACUAGAUACACAGAAGCAUCCCUGCGGGCUCCAUGUUGACUUAGAAAACCACAGAUUUUUAAGGUUUCUUUUUACUACGUCGGCACAUUAAAAUCACGUAGGGACUGCAAUUUACUCUGGUUCAGGCUGCCCCCGCCCCGUUCCCCCAUUUGGCACCUCCUGGCAGUUCUCUAAAACCAACAAAGCAGGUACCAAUCUGCAUCAGAAGAACGGCUCUCCUCACCCGGGAAAGCAGGUCGAGCCCCUUCUCAUAUAUUUUACGAUCUGCUUCAUCUGAAAGUGAAGGGGAGAAGUGACCGUGUCCCACCCCCCUUGUUAGGCUGUCUGCCCAGGAUUGCUGGAAGAAGCCUCUACCCAAGCAGGACUGCCUUAAGCGGGACAAGUCGAUGGUGUAACUCCUAGGGGUUGCUUUCCCAUUGGAGGUCUGGAACUGGUGUGAGGAAGGAAGACAGAAUCUGCCUGGGAUUGGCUUGCAUCAUGGAUGGAAAAAAAAAAAGCUCCUGGAUUGGACUUGCUGACCCAGUAGGGGUCUGACUGCUUUACGAAAGAAAUCUCGGGAUUGUCCUUAGAAAUGGCAGACCCACCCGUACAGGUGGACCAAGGUUAAGUCGCUGAGGAUUACCCUGGUCUUUCCCAUCCACAGAGAGUGGGUGGCAGUUAGACCCAAAUAAAAAAGGCUCAGAAGAAGACCAGGAGUUGAAGUGGGAAACCAAAAGGCGGCGGCUCACCUCCUUGUCAUCCCACCUAAGCUAAUUUUGUUUUCUUCUCUGAAGGAGAGAAAUCAGAUCAUGAAAGCUUGUCUUCACCCUUGGGAUAGAGAGAGGAAAACCGGAAAGCCUUUCCUUCUGCCUGCCACGACUACCUCCCCAGGACGAGUUCAAGGCAUUCCACUCACGACACUAAACUUGAUUCUCAACAUUGAUUGUUUGGUUUUUGAAGCAUCUCUUUGUUGAGUUAAGAAGUCCUAAAGAGGAUCCAGUUAUCCGGGUCUUUGGGCCAAGUCUUGCUGGGUGCUCUAAGCUGGAAGUUCAGUUUAUGCGAAGCAAGUGGAAUUGUGUGUCCUUAUUGCUUUUCAAGGACUUUUCGAAGGCCACUUGAUGAUUCACAGAACGAUUUCCUCACUGCGCACCUAUGGGAGAGGCAGCCCAAAUAAUAUGAUCUCCUCUUCCCAGUUUAGACUCAGGGAAGUUAAGGGAUUUGCCCAGGAGCAGACAGCUAAUGAGGACCGAGUCCCGACUUGUGGUCUCCUAAGACUUUCCCCAAAUCCUCAGAUCACAAAAUCUCAGAGUCCAAAGGAACCUUGGAGUCCAUUGAGUUAAUCAAUGUGUUGACUUCAUA